UCCCUCAUAGCUCAGUUGGUAAAGAAUCUGCCUGCAAUGCAGAAGACCUGGGUUCAAUCCCUGGGUCGGGAA
rnacentral:tRNA from 1 species